GCAGCACGGGAGCUCUGCUCCUGGUGGCGAGUGGCGAACGGGUGAGUAAUAUAUCGGAACGUAUCCAAUAAUGGGGGAUAACUAGUCGAAAGAUUAGCUAAUACCGCAUACGCCCUGAGGGGGAAAGCUGGGGAUCUUCGGACCUAGCGUUAAUGGAGCGGCCGAUAUCUGAUUAGCUAGUAGGUGAGGUAAAAGCUCACCUAGGCGACGAUCAGUAGCUGGUCUGAGAGGACGACCAGCCACACUGGAACUGAGACACGGUCCAGACUCCUACGGGAGGCAGCAGUGGGGAAUUUUGGACAAUGGGCGCAAGCCUGAUCCAGCCAUUCCGCGUGAGUGAAGAAGGCCUUCGGGUUGUAAAGCUCUUUCGCAAGGGAAGAAAACUUAACCUCUAACAUAGGUUGAGGCUGACGGUACCUUGAUAAGAAGCACCGGCUAACUACGUGCCAGCAGCCGCGGUAAUACGUAGGGUGCGAGCGUUAAUCGGAAUUACUGGGCGUAAAGCGUGCGCAGGCGGCCUGAUAAGUCAGAUGUGAAAUCCCCGAGCUCAACUUGGGAACUGCGUUUGAAACUAUCAAGCUAGAAUAUGUCAGAGGGGGGUAGAAUUCCACGUGUAGCAGUGAAAUGCGUAGAGAUGUGGAGGAAUACCAAUGGCGAAGGCAGCCCCCUGGGAUAAUAUUGACGCUCAUGCACGAAAGCGUGGGGAGCAAACAGGAUUAGAUACCCUGGUAGUCCACGCCCUAAACGAUGUCUACUAGUUGUUGGUGGAGUAAAAUCCAUGAGUAACGCAGCUAACGCGUGAAGUAGACCGCCUGGGGAGUACGGUCGCAAGAUUAAA
rnacentral:rRNA from 1 species